UUCAAGCCUCGAUCAAUGGUUUAAACUUGGCUUGGAACAUGGGUUGUAGGCAGCUUGUGGUUGGGAUGGAUCCUUUGGUUCAUAAAGAUUUUAGUUUCAGCUACAAAUACAAGUAAUGUGCCGUUUGCGUAGUUGAUCCGUUGGCUCGAGAUUGGCACGUGUUCUACAAUAUUUGUUAUCAUAAACCAAAUCAGGUUGCUGAUACAUUGCCUCAUCUGGCUGCGAAUGAUGAGUUAGGCAGGCAUAUUUUUCUUCAUCCUCUUGACGUCAUGAUGUG
rnacentral:lncRNA from 1 species